AUUGAACGCUGGCGGCAUGCCUUACACAUGCAAGUCGAACGGCAGCACGGGUGCUUGCACCUGGUGGCGAGUGGCGAACGGGUGAGUAAUACAUCGGAACGUACCUUAUCGUGGGGGAUAACGCAGCGAAAGCUGUGCUAAUACCGCAUACGCCCUGAGGGGGAAAGCGGGGGAUCGCAAGACCUCGCGCGAUUAGAGCGGCCGAUGCCUGAUUAGCUUGUUGGUGGGGUAAAAGCCCACCAAGGCGACGAUCAGUAGCUGGUCUGAGAGGACGAUCAGCCACACUGGGACGAAGACACGGCCCAGACUCCUACGGGAGGCAGCAGUGGGGAAUUUUGGACAAUGGGGGCAACCCUGAUCCAGCAAUGCCGCGUGAGUGAAGAAGGCCUUCGGGUUGUAAAGCUCUUUUGUCAGGGAAGAAACACCGGCUCUAACACAGUCCGGGAAUGACGGUACCUGAAGAUUAAGCACCGGCUAACUACGUGCCAGCAGCCGCGGUAA
rnacentral:rRNA from 1 species